rnacentral:rRNA from 1 species
AAUGAACGCUGGCGGCGUGCUUAACACAUGCAAGUCGCACGAGAACGCUUCAGCUUGCUGAAGUUAGUAAAGUGGCGCACGGGUGAGUAACGCGUGGGUAACCUGCCCUUGAAUCGGGGAUAACUUCGCGAAAGCGUAGCUAAUACCGGAUACUGUCCCUAAGGCUGUGGCCCUGGGGAUAAAAGGUGACCUCUUCAUGAAAGUUGCCGUUUAGGGAGGGGCUCGCGUACCAUUAGCUUGUUGGCGGGGUAAUAGCCCACCAAGGCUACGAUGGUUAGCUGGUCUGAGAGGAUGAUCAGCCACACUGGAACUGAAACACGGUCCAGACUCCUACGGGAGGCAGCAGUGAGGAAUUUUGCGCAAUGGGGGAAACCCUGACGCAGCAACGCCGCGUGAGUGAAGAAGGCUUUCGGGUCGUAAAGCUCUGUCAAAUGGAAAAAAAUACUAUCGAUAAAUAGUCGAUAGGAUUGAUGGUACCAUUAGAGGAAGCACCGGCUAACUCCGUGCCAGCAGCCGCGGUAAUACGGAGGGUGCGAGCGUUGUUCGGAAUUAUUGGGCGUAAAGAGCGUGUAGGCGGUUUGGUAAGUCAGAUGUGAAAGCCCUGGGCUCAACCCAGGAAGUGCAUUUGAAACUGCCUUACUUGAGUAUGGGAGAGGAGAGUGGAAUUCCCAGUGUAGAGGUGAAAUUCGUAGAUAUUGGGAGGAACACCGGUGGUGAAGACGGCUCUCUGGGCCGCAACUGACGCUGAGACUCGAAAGCGUGGGGAGCAAACAGGAUUAGAUCCCCUGGUAGUCCACGCCGUAAACGAUGAGAACUAGGUGUAGCGGGUAUUGACCGCUGCCGUGCCGUAGCUAACGUGUUAAAUGCCCCGCCUGGGGAGUACGGUCGCAAGGCUGAAACUCAAAGGAAUUGACGGGGGCCCGCACAAGCGGUGGAGCAUGUGGUUUAAUUCGAGGCAACGCGAAGAACCUUACCGGCUUUUGACAUCCCGGUCGCGGUUAGCAGAGAUGCUUUCCUUCAGUUCGGCUGGACCGGUGACAGGUGCUGCAUGGUUGUCGUCAGCUCGUGUCGUGAGAUGUUGGGUUAAGUCCCGCAACGAGCGCAACCCUCGCCUUUAGUUGCCAGCAUUUAGUUGGGCACUCUAGAGGGACUGCCGGUGAUAAGCCGGAGGAAGGUGGGGAUGACGUCAAAUCAUCAUGGCCCUUACGGGCUGGGCUACACACGUGCUACAAUGGCGGUGACAGUGAGCAGCCACUCAGCAAUGGGGAGCUAAUCUCUAAAAGCAGUCUCAGUUCGGAUUGUUCUCUGCAACUCGAGAGCAUGAAGUUGGAAUCGCUAGUAAUCGUGGAUCAGCAUGCCACGGUGAAUACGUUCCCGGGCCUUGUACACACCGCCCGUCACACCAUGGGAGUUGGA